AUCCACUUGUCGGAGUGCCAUUUGGCUGAGACCGUUUAUUCGGGAUCCGUUGAACCUGAUUCAGAUUAAUAUCUGCGAAGGAAACAAGAGUAGAAAUUGA
rnacentral:ncRNA from 2 species